CUGCAGAAUUCCACAGAAUUACUAAUAUCAGCUUGAAAAACAAGUUCUAUGCAGAGCUGGACAACCAUAAUCCUCGACUGAUUGCUGUUUACAGGCAGAAGGCUGCCCGUACAGGCAAGGCAGGACUAAGAAGCAUCUGUAGUGCCUAUGAUCUUACGGAUCACUACGAUAUUAACAACAGACGUACAGCUGUACUUCGAACCCUCCCUUGUCUACUUGCGCGAAUAUGACUCUGUGUUUUUCCAGAUGUGGAAUACUGAAGAGGUGGAUGAGCCAGACAUUACAGAUUCAGCUGUAGCUCUUGUCAGCAUGGUGAAUGGAG